GAAGGCGGGACAUUGUCCAACUGCUCAGAAAGUGCGAAAACCAAGACAACCAGAACUCUCCCCUCACCACACUGUAAGCAGAUCUCAGAAGUAACGGCCAGUGUACCAUCCAUUGAUUUUUCCACUGUGACCUUCAGAUCAAAAAUAAUUUCCCCAAAACCCACGAAGAAGAAGGCCCAUACCCUUCAGAAUCUGGAAAGUUGGAACAAGUACCCCUGUGUAGACACUUGAGAUACCUCCUGUAAGCCCUGGACGAUUACAGGAAAUUGAGUGUUUUAAGUACUGUACCAAUAUAGUACACAAAAACCUGCACUGUAUAAUCCUGGCAUAGGGAAGGGUUUGCUAAUGUCCAUAUUUACAUAUUGAAUAGAUAGCUUUUAAAUGCAUACCUGUUUUAUAAUAUGUACAUAUCAGAUCAUUAUAGAUGGCAAAAAAGGCAUGUUGAUAACUUAACCCAGAGCAAAAAACAAAGAACUGUACAGAUUACAAGACUAAGUUCUAAGUGAGUUCUGAGAAAAUGCUACACCACUGUCAUUUAGAGAGGCCAGGUACUGUCAACCACUUAAACAGCCAGGUCACCAUUUACCUGGGGCCAAUUAACAAAAUGAAAACUGUUUAAGACAGCUGACUCAGUUUAAACAGAGAGUCAUGUCAAGGAGUGCCAUUUCCAUGGGAAUAUCCUAUCUGGCUGUGAAAAUAACUGAAGCUCCUUGGAAGGCAAGGCACACAAUGUGCACUGAUGACAUGUCUGUAGGGUAUGAUGCAGGAAAGAGUGUUUAGACUUUGCGUUUUCAUAUUUACUCAUCACAGCAUAUAAAAAAGGUCUGUAUUAAAGAUUUAUAAAACUGCUCCGAGGAGCACCGGAGCAAACCAUGUAGUGUGCUCACUCACAGCUCGCAUUGAGCUCUAUGCUACAGUGUCUAUGUGCUCCGGCAUAACCACAGAGAGUCUGAAAACUGUAAAAUGAGAACCUCUACAUAGCCUGACUGAAUGACAGAAGCCAUUUUCACACAGCAGUGGAUGCUGCUGUUACAUAGCUUGAUAUAAUGUAGUCUAAUUGCAAGUGACAUUAUAAGUGCAAUGGCUCAGUGUAUUGACGCUAAUUUUGUGCUGGGGAACAAGCUACAUUGAAGAUGCGAUUGAAUAGCUUUGUGAUUAGUGAAUGCAGCGCCUUUAUCUAGUGAUAACCUGAUGAAUUCACUGUCUCAAUUUUCUACCAAGACAUUGGACAUACUGUAUUGCACGAUUACAGAUAUAGCUGUGAAAGCACAUUUACAAACAAGGUUCAUCAUGCAGUAAUAUGCAUUUAAAACAUACCAAUGUAUGUAAUUCUAUGGAUCCGUAAGAUAAGAAAAAAAAAACAACCGAUGUUGAAACACUGAUUCAUAGAGCACAAUAUAGCCUAGAAAUUGAUGCAGUUUGUGUGGAUUUGAUUUGCAGUUAAAUUAAUAAACUAUGUGGCAGUGAAAGAUGAUCAAUAAAAAGUGUUUCA